UACAGAGGGGGCAAGCGUUAUUCGGAAUUAUUGGGCGUAAAGGGCGCGUAGGCGGCCUUGCAAGUGACGGGUGAAAUCCCUCGGCUUAACCGAGGAACUGCCUGUCAAACUGCGUGGCUUGAGACCAGGAGAGGUGAGUGGAAUUCCCAGUGUAGCGGUGAAAUGCGUAGAUAUUGGGAGGAACACCAGUGGCGAAGGCGGCUCACUGGACUGGUACUGACGCUGAGGCGCGAAAGCGUGGGGAGCGAACAGG
rnacentral:rRNA from 1 species